UAGCUAGGAAAAGGUUCAGACCUUUGUACAAAAUUUUUGUACAGUGGAACCUCUAGGUUUUCCGAGUAGCAACCAACAAAAAUUCUUUGACUUUAGAUUAAACACCAAGGCUUUCAGAAUAGGAAUCCUUCCCAUGGUAACACCGUGCUACAGGGAUUCAUGGAUUCCAAAUCUUCAAUUAGACAGGGUGUGCUUGCAAAGAGAAGGUCAAAUUUUCAUGGGAAUCAAUUCCCAGUAAACACAGAGGUGGCUAGGAAGGCUGUUGACUUGAUUGUAAAUCAAAACACUUGUCAAAAGAUGAUGCUAAACAGCAAUUUUUUAGAAUCUUGAGAACUCCUCCUUAUGGGAAUUCUGUUUUCUUCAGUGUACGGAAGAUAGAUGAUCCUAUAGAAGUCAUAUCUUUAUGAGGGGAAGAAGAAAGACCCUU